CCUACGUGAGGCAGCAGUGAGGAAUAUUGGUCAAUGGACGAGAGUCUGAACCAGCCAAGUAGCGUGAAGGAUGACUGCCCUAUGGGUUGUAAACUUCUUUUAUAUGGGAAUAAAAUGUUCCACGUGUGGGAUUUUGUAUGUACCAUAUGAAUAAGGAUCGGCUAACUCCGUGCCAGCAGACGCGGUAAUACGGAGGAUCCGAGCGUUAUCCGGAUUUAUUGGGUUUAAAGGGAGCGUAGGUGGAUUGUUAAGUCAUUUGUGAAAGUUUGCGGCUCAACCGUAGAAUUGCAGUUGAUACUGGCAGUCUUGAUUACAGUAGAGGUGGGCGGAAUUCGUGGUGUAUCGGUGAAAUGCUUAGAUAUCACGAAGAACUCCGAUUGCGAAGGCAGCUCACUGGACUGCAACUGACACUGAGGCUCGAAAGUGUGGGUAUCAAACAGGAUUAGAUACCCCUGUAGUC
rnacentral:rRNA from 1 species